GUUUGGGGGUGACUGAAAGACCCCCGUUACAGGGAGACCCUCGCUCAAGUCCCGGGAUGAGCCGAAGCCCCAAUAACUCAAGAGAAACC
rnacentral:pre_miRNA from 7 species